AGCCCAAGAUGGGGCUUGAACCCACAAACCAUGAGAUCAUGACCUGAACAAAAAUCAGGGCUUGGACACCCAACAAAAAGAGCCACCCAGGUCAGCACAACCUUAGCCACUGCAGUGUGUUUUUGAAGAGCUGUCCCUGAUGUGUUAAACUGUACAGUGGUGCUUUAUGGGGCCACUGUGGAUAAGAUCGUGCAGAGUUAAUUAGCCUGGGAUAAACUGAGACAGGAGUGCGCCUGCCAUGGUAGGAGCAGCAUAUUCAGGGCCCAUGUUAUAGGAUCCAAAAGAGAAAGGCUACAGUAUGCUUCACUUUGUUCCUUCUUGGGGCAGUGACCUGGAGAAGAUAAGGAAAGGCCCUGUGAGAACAUGGUGACAAGGCAGUCAUCUACCAGCCAGGAAGAAAGCCCGCACCCGCAGCCAAACCCUGCUGGAACCUUGAUUUUGAACCUUCCAGCUUCUCCCCAAACAGAGAAUCCAGAAGGGCCCCAGGGUCCUGGAAGAUGGUGUGAUCUCCACAUGUGAGGAGCCCAGAUGCCUUCUUGGAGGAGACCUUCCUUCCCCGCUCCUCCACCUCCAAGAGACUUACAUUAUACUGU